GACGAACGCUGGCGGCGUGGAUUAGGCAUGCAAGUCGAACGGUAUCAUCCUUUCGGGGGUGAGAGAGUGGCGAACUGGUGAGUAACACGUAGGUUAUCUACCCUCAAGGCGGGGACAACCCAGGGAAACUUGGGCUAAUACCGGAUGUGAGCAACUUUUAGUUGUUUGAAAGGUGGCGUAAGCUGUCGCUUGGGGAUGAGCCUGCGUCCUAUUAGUUAGUUGGUGAGGUAACGGCUCACCUAGGCAAUGAUAGGUAGGCGGCCUUAACGGGUGGUCGCCCACACUGGGAUUGAGAUACGGCCCAGACUCCUACGGGAGGCAGCAGUCGAGAAUAGUCUACAAUGGUCGGAAGACUGAUAGUGCGACGCCGCGUGAACGAUGAAUCCCUUCGGGGUGUAAAGUUCUUUUAUAUGUGAGCAGUGCUUCUUAUAUUAACAGUAUGGGGAGAGAGAUAUUAGCAUAUGAAUAAGCAACGGCUAACUCCGUGCCAGCAGCCGCGGU
rnacentral:rRNA from 1 species